AUAAUUGUGGUAGUUAUUAAUUAAAUGAAAAUGCUCUAAAAUUAUUCUCCCAAAUGCUUUUUAGAUGCCACUUCUCUUUGCUGUGAUCCUUUGUGAUUUCCCCUCCGAUCCUGUAGAUGGAACCAUGCGUCUUUGUUGUGUGCAUGUUUGUACAAAGAACUCGAGGCACACGUUGUUUUAUACAACAAACUAAAUAUUUGACAGCUCGUUGGAAGUAAUACAUACAGUUAUCAGCAGAUUAGAGUUUUAUAUAAAUACUUUUGCCAAAAUGUCGACAGCGUUUUGUUUUCAAGCACAGCUCGUUUCUGUCAUGGACGCGUUAUCAAAAACAGCAGUUUCAGAAAUAAGCAAACUAGUCGACAUCGAAUCAAAGGUUUUAAAAUUAGAAAUAACGCGUGGUCGGAAUGAAAUAGCAACACUUACAGAGAAACUGCAGCUGAUGGAGAAUUUGCUUUGGAUCGAUGGAGGGCACAGGCAGGACGCAACGGCAGAUACACUCACGAAAACGCCAACAAGAAUGAGAGAUGGUUUAAUGAACGGUUAUUGUGAAAUACCUCAGUCUGAGCCCAAAAUACCUGCAAUCAAAAAAAGUGAGAGUUCCUGGGAAAACAUUUGUCCUCCCCAAGAGAUGCACGUCAUCCAUCAGGUUGAAGAUGGUGCUCUUGUUUUGGAAACAGUGCCUACCACAGUGGUGAGAGACCAGCCUGAGUUGAUUGUGAUCAAGGAGGAACCUUCAGAGGUGGACAUAUGGGGUAGUGGGCCAAAGACCGAACUCAUACAUGAAAAUGGAGCAGCAACAUCACUUGAUACAGAUGUUGGGUGUCUCAAUGUGCUUCAGCAUUGUCCAGACAGCUCAGACAACCACCCUAUACUAACUAAGAGCCAAGGGAACCACAGCACUCAGCACUCAUCCGGAGUGCAAUUGGAGGACCUGGACACCCAUUGGACGCCACCUGCAUGUUCACAGAGCCAGGAUGCGCAGCAGAUCACACCUGCUGCACAGAGAAACUCCAUAACUGGAAACAGCUCUGGUGGUAUAACAAAUGUGCCCUCUCAGAGUUUCAGUGUGGCAAAGUCGAACAUGAAGAUCCACAGCCUGAGAACAUCAGGAGCUAAAAGAUUUGGCUGUAUGCAAUGUGGCAAGAACUUCAGGUGUUCUAGUCAGCUGGAAAUACACCAGCGAAGUCACACUGGAGAGAAACCGUACCGAUGCACGCUGUGUGGAAAGAGAUACGCACAGAAAGGGCAUCUUUAUACCCACCAACGCACACACACCGGAGAAAAGCCAUAUCGCUGCCUCGACUGUGGCAAGAGCUUCAUUCAAAAAUGCACUCUCGAUAUGCACCAGCGCACCCACACCGGAGAAAAACCUUAUGUUUGUGUGAAAUGUGGGAAGGGAUUUACUAAAAACUGUAACCUUAAGAAACACAUGGGUGUACAUACAGAGUUUAGCAUGCAUGUUUACAGUGAGUCCAGUUUACAAGAGGACAGAUGGACAAAUAGACCUCAUCCGUACUAGUACCAACCAUAGGCCUACAGCCUCUGCAGCGGAUUUGCUGGACUUCAGUCAUUCAAAGUUUUCCUCAUAAAAUAUUAGUCUCUGCUUUUCAGAAAAAUAAAGCUGUCCUAUUUUUCAACAUUUGCCAGGUCUCUAUUUUGCGCUCUGUCAUUUUUAUUUUAUUCAAAUGUAACCUUUAUUUAACUAGGCAAGCCAGUUAAGAUCAAAUUGUUAUUUACAAUGACGGCUGGGCCAAUUGUGCGCCGCCCUAUGGGACUCCAAAUCACGGCAGGAUGUGAUACAGCCUGGAUAUCGUUUUCCUCAUUUGAAAUCGGGUUUGGAGGUGAAAUAUAGCCCUGAAAGUAACAGCCAAUUGCCAAGGGUAUAGUUUUUUAAUUGGAUCGAAACAUUACCGCAUUGGAUUGUGGGAUAUUUGACCAUAAACUAUGAAUUAAAGCUCAACAAAAAAUGUGUACAUGACCAUUACUUUGUGGGUUUACGGUAAAGAAUCCCACAAUUCAAAGCGGUAAUGUUUAGAAUCGUGAGCGAGAGGUCUAUUCAGAGAUAUUUUUGAGAAGAUGGAAAACUCCAUUGCAUUCGUAUUCCAGCCCAUUGUCUACGCUGCCCAUGCGUCGUCAAUGAGCCGCACGGUGCAUUCUGGGUGAUUCUGAGACAAGGAGAGCGCUCCUUCAAGAAGUGAAUGGGAGUCAAUUGGGCUAGCUCUAAACCCCCAACAUUAGCAUGAAUUUCGACAAGAAGUACCACAUAAAAAAUAUUUUCGGAGAUGUGAGAUAAUUAACUUAUCUGUAAUAUCGUACAGCUUUUGCAUCGUACUUUCGAGGAAAAUAGCCAUACCCCGACUUUGAGAAGGGAUUGCGUGACGAUCAGUUUAGCAACCGCGUGACGCAGCAUGACAACCUAAACGCGAUUGGUCGAAAGUCUGAUGGGUGGGGCUUUAUACAUUCGAAGAUCUUUGCCCAAUAGGAUUCCUAUCUCGUAAUUUCUCUUAUCCCUGGUCUAUUUCAGCUAGCUAGCCACCCAAUCAAUGUCUAUUAUUAAUCAUUUUUAUUAAUAUCGCCAGCCUAUCAUACACGUUGGACUUAGUUUCUUUUUAAAACAAAACCAUGAAUACGAUGAUAAAUCGGGGAAGUUUUCAGAUCCAGUUAGCUUCCAUUAUGGAAAUGCUAAGCAAAGCUGCUGUGGUUGAAAUCGGUAAACUUGUCGACGAGUGCUCGUCCGUUCUCCGUUCUGAAAUAUCCCAACACAUGAAUGAGAACGAGGCAUUAAAGAAGAAAUGUUAUCUGCUAGAGAUUGAAUUAAAGACGGUAAAACUGCACGAGCGUAAAAGGGUCAUUGCCAGCCGUUGUCAGAAUGGAGUUCAGGUCUCGGGACAAAUAUUUACGCAUCGAGCAACAGAGAACCGAGCUUCUAUUCAUCUUCCCAGUAGACAACUCUGCAAGCAUGUAUGUACUUCCAAAAACGGUCUAAAUAAAAAUGUAUAAGCAACCGGACACUUUUUUUCUAUGUAGUGUUUUUGACCGGAAGAGCUACCAAUAGGCACCUCUUCUGGUCAAAAAACAAUACUUAAUUUUUUUCCGGUUGCUUGUCAAUUUUUAUUUAGGCCUUUUUUGGAAGUACAUACCGGGCGUAACAGCAGUAAAUGGCGAUAGUUGCAGGCAGGGCAGGCAUAUUUGAGAAGCAGUCUGCCCCCGCGAUAGAGAGUGUCUUUGGUAAGGACUGGUGCAUGGAUCUAUGGAGAGAUGGGGAGUCAAUCCCUCAGGAUAAAGAGACAACAAUUGGAUCUGCCAUCUUGGGCGAUGAUGAGGUCACUCAGGCAAUAGACUUGGUGGACAAUGAGCCUGACUUGGUGUUUAUCAAAGAAGAGCUGUUUGAGGAUCAGCCAGUGGACCAGCAGAGGGGACAUGCAAGCAACAGAAAAAGGAGCGUAGCUGUGGAGGAUGCUCCAGCAGUGGAGCGAGCAGCUGCCAGUCAACUUCACCUAUACAAGGGGGACUUAAACACAUACCCUGCAGGCAGCCAUCAGGUACAGCCUGACACAGAGCAGCCCACAUCCAUUGAGAGCCUCAUGGAAGACCCCACUCUGGCUGGUCUGGUUGACCACACAGAGCCUGGCCCGGUUGACCACACAGAGCCUGGCCCUUGACACAGCCAAUGGGAUGUACAUGGACUAUCCUCCCCGCAACACAUACGCACCAAGAAACCGGCCAAGCCACCAGCAGGGAACUGGAAAAGACCUGAAGCAGCAGUUUGACUGUUUGUUUUGUGGGAAGAGCUUUGGUUAUUUGAGCUACUUGAAAGUCCAUAUCAGACGCCACUCUGGAGAGAAACCGUUUGGCUGCACCGUUUGCGGGAAGCGCUUCGCUCAGAAGACGUACCUGAAGCUGCAUCAGCGUACACACUCUGGGGAGAAACCUUACAGUUGCACAGAGUGUGGGAAGAGUUUCUCUCAGAAGAGCUCGCUGAAUGUCCACCUCCGGAGUCACACCGGGGAGAAGCCUUAUAGCUGUGUCGACUGUGGGAAGAGCUACACCUAUAAACACGGUUUUAACACACACCAAUGUUUCAAAUAAUUUACAUUUCAACCUUGUUUUGAAAACUGAAACAUCUUUAGCCGUAUUGUAAUCAUGGUGGUUUUCAGUAGGUAGAUUUUUUUUUAAAGUUAACUGUUUUGCGCUACUGUGUGCCCUAAUGAACAUGACCAAGCUGUUACUCUUCACUACAUGGCAGAACUGCUCCAUUCAAGUUUUCCCUCCUGCUCUGUCUGUAGGAUUGCACACACACACACACUGCCUUCUUGUCACACAAUUGGCAAUAGACUAGAUGCCCCACUGUUAGAUGAAGACAUUUUUGAAGUAUUUCUAAAGACAUGUACUGUUUGUGCUAAACAGUGGUAGUCCUGAUACCAGUUGUUUGUGCUACUGUGAAGAAUGCCAGUGUGGUAGACCGGUCACGUAAACGUGUGCCAAAUAAUUUUCUGUAAUGAAUUAAACGGGUACAGUAAUACAUUUACUUAUUUGUACUCACAUUACAUUUGUAUUCCAUAUGUUAUAAAAAUGUAAACAUGGCAAUGAUUAAAUGAUUGAAAUGUUA